rnacentral:rRNA from 1 species
AUACGGAGGCUGCAAGCGUUAUUCGGAAUCACUGGGCGUAAAGGACGCGUAGGCGGGUUGGCAAGUCAGAUGUGAAAUCCUACAGCUUAACUGUAGAACUGCAUUUGAAACUGCUAACCUAGAGUAUGGGAGGGGGAGAUGGAAUUAGUGGUGUAGGGGUAAAAUCCGUAGAUAUCACUAGGAAUACCGAAAGCGAAGGCGAUCUCCUGGAACAUAACUGACGCUAAGGCGUGAAAGCGUGGGGAGCAAACAGGAUUAGAUACCCUAGUAGUCC